rnacentral:rRNA from 1 species
UACGUAGGGUGCAAGCGUUAAUCGGAAUUACUGGGCGUAAAGCGUGCGCAGGCGGUUAUGUAAGACAGAUGUGAAAUCCCCGGGCUCACCUGGGAACUGCAUUUGUGACUGCAUAGCUAGAGUACGGUAGAGGGGGAUGGAAUUCCGCGUGUAGCAGUGAAAUGCGUAGAUAUGCGGAGGAACACCGGAUGGCAAGGACGAGCCCCACCUGGGCCGACACUGACGCUCAGGCACGAAAGCGUGGGGAGCAAACAGG